ensembl:snoRNA
AUACCGUGAUGGUUGCAUAGUUCAGCAGAUAAAUCAUGAAGAGAUUUACCACCUGUCUGAUGUAUCU